rnacentral:rRNA from 1 species
AGUCUACUACCUUGUGACCUCGGUCACGUUAUGGUGGUGGCAGACGGCUUAGUAACACGUAAGUAAUCUACCCUCAAGUGGGGGAUAAUCCGAAGAAAUUCGGCCUAAUACCCCAUAAUGUUUUAAUAUAUAUGUAUUGAAAAGAAAGAUUUAUCGCCUUUGGAGGAGCUUGCGGCCUAUCAGGUAGUUGGUAAGGGUAAUGGCCUACCAAGCCCAAGACGGGUAACCGAAGUGAGAGCUUGAACGGUAAGAGGGGGACUGAGACACGGCCCCCACUCCUACGGGAGGCAGCAGCAGGGAAUCUUGCGCAAUGGACUGUAUGGUCUGACGCAGCGACACCGCGUGGAGGAUGAAUGCUUUUGGGUUGUAAACUCCUCUUCUUAGGGAAGAUGAUGACGGUACCUAAGGAAUAAGCAUCGGCUAACUACGUGCCAGCAGCCGCGGUAAUACGUAGGAUGCGAGCGUUGUCCGGAAUUAUUGGGCGUAAAGGGCGUCUAGGUGGAAUAAUAAGUCCUGUGUGAAAUCUCUUGGCUCAACCAAGAAAUGUCACAGGAAACUAUUAAUCUAGAGGUCAUCAGAGGUAAGUGGAAUUCACGGAGUAGUGGUGAAAUGCGUAGAUACCGUGAGGAACACCAGAGGCGAAAGCGGCUUACUAGGAUGAACCUGACACUAAAGCGCGAAAGCGUGGGUAGCAAACCGGAUUA